UACGUAGGGGGCAAGCGUUGUCCGGAAUUAUUGGGCGUAAAGAGCGUGUAGGCGGUCCGGUAAGUCGGCUGUGAAAGUCCAGGGCUCAACCCUGGGAUGCCGGUCGAUACUGCCGGACUAGAGUACGGAAGAGGCGAGUGGAAUUCCUGGUGUAGCGGUGAAAUGCGCAGAUAUCAGGAGGAACACCAAUUGCGAAGGCAGCUCGCUGGGACGUUACUGACGCUGAGACGCGAAAGCGUGGGGAGCAAACAGG
rnacentral:rRNA from 1 species